rnacentral:rRNA from 1 species
GUGGGGAAUAUUGGACAAUGGGCGAAAGCCUGAUCCAGCCAUGCCGCGUGUGUGAAGAAGGUCUUCGGAUUGUAAAGCACUUUAAGUUGGGAGGAAGGGCAGUAAGCUAAUACCUUGCUGUUUUGACGUUACCGACAGAAUAAGCACCGGCUAACUCUGUGCCAGCAGCCGCGGUAAUACAGAGGGUGCAAGCGUUAAUCGGAAUUACUGGGCGUAAAGCGCGCGUAGGUGGUUCGUUAAGUUGGAUGUGAAAGCCCCGGGCUCAACCUGGGAACUGCAUCCAAAACUGGCGAGCUAGAGUACGGUAGAGGGUGGUGGAAUUUCCUGUGUAGCGGUGAAAUGCGUAGAUAUAGGAAGGAACACCAGUGGCGAAGGCGACCACCUGGACUGAUACUGACACUGAGGUGCGAAAGCGUGGGGAGCAAACAGGAUUAGAUACCCUUGUAGUCC